rnacentral:lncRNA from 1 species
GUAAUGAACAUAGUUGAUAUUCGUAUUCAACAUUUUAAAGAACAUUUUACUAUUAACAAUAACCACAAUAAACCUAUUUCUCGUAUCAAAAAUAAACCAAAAACUAGCCAAGGAAUUUGUUUUUGUCCCGGCCAAUAAAGCUGCUAAUAAUAUUAUUAUUGUUUGACGUAAAUUUUACAUUGAGGUUCUGAAAAAAGAAAUUACCAAUUCACCAACAUUCCAACUGACUCCAUUUUCAGAAAACGACAUUUGUAACAAACAUAAACUUUUAGCUACCGCUUUACAAGCAGAACCAAAUACAAUGAAAGUCCCAACUAUGUAUUGGCUUCCGAAGCUACACAAAACACCUUACAAAUAUAGAUUUAUUUCGUCUUCAAGCCAUUGUUCCACUAUUAAAUUGUCUA